rfam:Gossypium raimondii chromosome 1, whole genome shotgun sequence.
AAUCCAUGGCAUGGGCAUUUUCGUAACAUCAUCUUGAAAUGUUCCCACGCCUCGUAUAGGGACUCACCUUCGUAUUGUUUGAAAAUUUUGAUUUCUCACCUCGACU